UAAAGAGUCCAGCGCAUCCCUGGAUCCUGAGCAGAAGACCUUGACGGGCAGGAUGCCUGCCUCUGCCUCCUGGGUCCCACUGGAACCCAUAGGACUGGGGCUAGGCUGAGGUCCCUCCCCCCUGCUGGGAGGGGUGAGAGGGCCCCAGAUAGCGCCACCUCCCCCAAUCCCCAGUGGACAGAUGGCUCUCCCCACAAUCACCAAAGGGGGGAUGGGGGUGGGAGGGAAAGGCUGUCCCCCUCCCCCCCCAAAAUGUGAUGCAUGCCCAUUUUUGCCUAGGACCUACUGCAAAAUUUGGAGAGCCAUCCUUCACUCACGUACCUGUCCUCAUUCCACGCUUCUCCUGCAAGAUAUCAGGAAGCUUGCAGCCACGUUUGCGAAGCGGCCAAGCCCGUCACCCACAUGCAUCUGCCAGGAGCCGUGCGGUCUUGGGGAAACCCCUGUCUUCAUGUGUAAAAUGGGGUAUGGCCUCACUCUUCCCAAGGCCACGGAGCAGAGCGAUUAAGGUAAUAUGUGUGAAGCAGUGAGCAGCCCGGCCUGGCCUGGUGUAUGUCAAGGCCUGUUAAAUGUAUUCAUUCAUGUAUUUGUUCUUGUGCAGAAGGAAGGCCAUGUGGUGCGUGGUGUAUGUGGAAUUGAUUAAACAUCUCCGUUUACAUUCAGAAAGAGGAU